AGAGUUUGAUCCUGGCUCAGGACGAACGCUGGCGGCGUGCUUAACACAUGCAAGUCGAACGGAAAGGCCCUUCGGGGUGCUCGAGUGGCGAACGGGUGAGUAACACGUGGGUGAUCUGCCCUGCACUUUGGGAUAAGCCUGGGAAACUGGGUCUAAUACCGAAUAGGACUGCGCUCUUCAUGGGGUGUGGUGGAAAGCUUUUGCGGUGUGGGAUGGGCCCGCGGCCUAUCAGCUUGUUGGUGGGGUAAUGGCCUACCAAGGCGACAACGGGUAGCCGGCCUGAGAGGGUGACCGGCCACACUGGGACUGAGAUACGGCCCAGACUCCUACGGGAGGCAGCAGUGGGGAAUAUUGCACAAUGGGCGCAAGCCUGAUGCAGCGACGCCGCGUGAGGGAUGACGGCCUUCGGGUUGUAAACCUCUUUCAGCACAGACGAAGCGCGAGUGACGGUAUGUGCAGAAGAAGGACCGGCCAACUACGUGCCAGCAGCCGCGGUAAUACGUAGGGUCCGAGCGUUGUCCGGAAUUACUGGGCGUAAAGAGCUCGUAGGUGGUUUGUCGCGUUGUUCGUGAAAACUCACAGCUUAACUGUGGGCGUGCGGGCGACACGGGCAGACUGGAGUACUGCAGGGGAGACUGGAAUUCCUGGUGUAGCGGUGGAAUGCGCAGAUAUCAGGAGGAACACCGGUGGCGAAGGCGGGUCUCUGGGCAGUAACUGACGCUGAGGAGCGAAAGCGUGGGGAGCGAACAGGAUUAGAUACCCUGGUAGUCC
rnacentral:rRNA from 1 species